UUCUUUAUCACCGAGUGCUUGCACUCACCGAUAAAGAGUUGAGUGGCGAACGGGUGAGUAACACGUGGGCAACCUGCCCAAAAGAGGGGGAUAACACUUGGAAACAGGUGCUAAUACCGCAUAACCAUAGUUACCGCAUGGUAACUAUGUAAAAGGUGGCUAUGCUACCGCUUUUGGAUGGGCCCGCGACGCAUUAGCUAGUUGGUGGGGUAAAGGCUUACCAAGGCAAUGAUGCGUAGCCGAACUGAGAGGUUGAUCGGCCACAUUGGGACUGAGACACGGCCCAAACUCCUACGGGAGGCAGCAGUAGGGAAUCUUCCACAAUGGGCGAAAGCCUGAUGGAGCAACGCCGCGUGGGUGAAGAAGGUCUUCGGAUCGUAAAACCCUGUUGUUAGAGAAGAAAGUGCGUGAGAGUAACUGUUCACGUUUCGACGGUAUCUAACCAGAAAGCCACGGCUAACUACGUGCCAGCAGCCGCGGUAAUACGUAGGUGGCAAGCGUUAUCCGGAUUUAUUGGGCGUAAAGAGAACGCAGGCGGUCUUUUAAGUCUGAUGUGAAAGCCUUCGGCUUAACCGGAGUAGUGCAUUGGAAACUGCGAGACUUGAGUGCAGAAGAGGAGAGUGGAACUCCAUGUGUAGCGGUGAAAUGCGUAGAUAUAUGGAAGAACACCAGUGGCGAAAGCGGCUUUCUGGUCUGUAACUGACGCUGAGGUUCGAAAGCGUGNGUAGCAAACAGGAUUAGAUACCCUGGUANUCCACGCCGU
rnacentral:rRNA from 1 species